UACGAAGGGGGCGAGCGUUAUUCGGAAUCACUGGGCGUAAAGCGUGCGUAGGCUGUUUGGCAAGUUGGAAGUGAAAGCUCGGGGCUCAACCCCGGAAUUGCUUUCAAAACUGCCAGACUCGAAUCUCGGAGAGGAUAGCGGAAUUUCCAGUGUAGUAGUGAAAUACGUAGAUAUUGGAAGGAACACCAGUGGCGUAAGCGGCUAUCUGGACGAGUAUUGACGCUGAGGCACGAAAGCGUGGGGAUCAAACAGG
rnacentral:rRNA from 1 species